UUGCUUGAGGACAAGCAAAAAGCUAGGUGUGGGGGUAUUUGACCAAGCAUAAUUUAGCCAUGUUUUUAAUAUAUUAUUUACUGUUUAUUUACAUAUUUUUCUAACUUAAAUUGUGUUUUUGUUAUGUUUUUAUAGAAAAGGAAGAAAUUGAAGAGUUGGAGAAAAAGUGCAGAAAAUGACAGCAAAAGUGAUUUGCCCAGUGAUUAGCCCAACUCACUCUCAGAAAAACUGGGCAAAUCACCUUGACAGCAGAACUACAGAGACAGAAACUGGACUGAAUCCCAGAGAGCAAUUUGCCCAGUGAUUUGCCCAAAUCACUCUCAGAAAAACUGGGCAAAUCACCUUGACAGCAGAACUUGACAGCAGAGGCGGGAAAACAGCUGGAAACUGAAUUUUGAGUUUUCAGAAGUCCAAAUCCAACUCAAUCACUACCAAAUCAAUUCCAAGAGCCACGAAAGAGUUUCUCUCUUAAGGAAUUCCAGUUGCAAUUAAAUUCAACAUCAAAAGAGGAAUCACAAGCCAAAUUAAAAAGGGAUUUCAAAACCCUAGAAGGAGAGAUUUCUUCAGCUAUAAAAGGGGCAACCUCCAAACCAGCAAAGCAUCUUCUGCUGAGGAAUUGAACUCGCCAAAAACUCUCCAGCAUCUUUUCUUUUUCUUUCUUUUCAUCUUUUGUGUAUUUUAGUCACCAUGAGUGGCUAAACUCAUUCUUUUCUAGUUGAAGUUGAGAAUAUUCAGAUUUGUGAUGAAUUGGGAGGUUUAAUACUCCAUUGUUGAACUCUUGUUUGUUUCAAUAUUUAUGCAAUUUGAUCUUUUCUAUAAAUAUUACUUUGCCUUUAGAAUCAAUAAGGGCCCAUUGCUUUUAAAUUGCUUAGUAAUAUUGUUUGAAUGGUUUAGGUCCGUAAUUGCUUUGAUUGUUCAAAUUCACAUUUAAUCAGGUUGCAUAAUCUAAACUUGACCACGCGGUUGGCAAGGAUAGAAUUGGGUUUCUCNNNN
rnacentral:lncRNA from 1 species